rnacentral:lncRNA from 1 species
CACUUGCAGAAUUUGGCGCUGGGCCCCGGAGCUCCCUCAGCUCCAGGCCAGUGUCGUGUUGACUUUCCUUUCAAUUUCUGGAACCCAACUGCCAUUACCACCCUCCAGAGACCUCUUACUAGAGGAGAAGCCAAAUUAACUCUAUAAAUCUGCCAUGUAGCUAUUAAAUAAAACCCAUUCACGAGGCGAGAAGAACACCACCCCAGCACUCCCUCUGACAGGGCUGGGGUAGGAGUGCCAAUGCUUCUCUAACCCCUGAGGCAUCUGUGCACCCUCUAGGAUGGAGGUCAGGAAACAGGUGGGGGCCUUACAUGCCUUUCAUGGUUUGUCUUGAGUUUAUUUUCUUAAACCUUAGGGUCUUUCAAGCCAGACCUGGAGCUCAAGAUUCUUCUGGAGGAAGGUGAGACACAGCCCUAUGCCACCUUGAGCUCCAGGCUAGAAAGGGACAGCCCCUAGCCCUGGCUUCUGCAACUGUGUGGUCUUGAACCUCCGUAUAGUCCGAAUCCCUCUGGCUCUCCUCAAAAUAUAAAACAAGCCUCCUUCCAAUAGCAUAUUGGUGCACACCCCUAAUCCCAGCACCUGGGAGGAGGAGGCGGCAGGAGCAUCAGGAGUUCAAGGCCAGCUCCUGCCCCCUAGCAGGGAUGGUAGGCUGCAUGAGAGUGUGUCUCAGAAAGAACCACCUGGUGCGGGUACAGGGAUGCUGGGAUUCUGAGAUGUCACUCAGUGCGGGAAAAGAUUCAAGGAGGGGAACAGAUCAAUGGCAGAAUGACUGUCUGUGCCGAGUUAAGGGCACUGAAAAUCUCAGCUCAUCUAUCGCUUUAUAGAAGAUAGAGCUUUCCCAUAGCAACCUGACGGGAGGAAGCAAGGCACUCUACAGUAAAGGAGUGGCCUUUCCAAGGAAGGGUCUAGGCUCCUUCUUCUCCAGAACAUGCACAGGACAUAGGAGAUCCAUAUUUAGAGACCUUUCGUGUUCGAACGUUUUCUAACUAAAGUUAAUUAUAUUGAGAUUACCCCGAA